rnacentral:rRNA from 1 species
UGGCGGACGGGUGAGUAAUGUCUGGGAAACUGCCCGAUGGAGGGGGAUAACUACUGGAAACGGUAGCUAAUACCGCAUAACGUCGCAAGACCAAAGAGGGGGACCUUCGGGCCUCUUGCCAUCGGAUGUGCCCAGAUGGGAUAGCUAGUAGGUGGGGUAACGGCUCACCUAGGCGACGAUCCCUAGCUGGCUGAGAGGAUGACCAGCCACACUGGAACUGAGACACGGUCCAG